rnacentral:rRNA from 1 species
UACGGGGGGAGCAAGCGUUGUUCGGAUUUACUGGGCGUAAAGGGCGCGUAGGCGGUCAGCACAAGUCAGUUGUGAAAUCUCCGGGCUUAACUCGGAAAGGUCAACUGAUACUGUGCGACUAGAGUGCGGAAGGGGCAACUGGAAUUCUCGGUGUAGCGGUGAAAUGCGUAGAUAUCGAGAGGAACACCUGCGGCGAAGGCGGGUUGCUGGGCCGACACUGACGCUGAUGCGCGACAGCGUGGGGAGCAAACAGG